rnacentral:tRNA from 6 species
AGAGGAUUAGUGUAACGGUAGCACACCGGACUCUGACUCCGUUCGCGGGGGUUCGAAUCCCUCAUCCUCUGCCA